rnacentral:rRNA from 1 species
GCUCGGACCUCAAAUCAAACGAGACCACCCGCUGAGUUAAAGCAUAUCAAUA